UACAGAGGUCUCAAGCGUUGUUCGGAUUCAUUGGGCGUAAAGGGUGCGUAGGCGGCGCGGUAAGUCGGGUGUGAAAUCUCGGGAGCUUAACUCCGAAACUGCAUUCGAUACUGCCGUGCUUGAGGACUGGAGAGGAGACUGGAAUUUACGGUGUAGCGGUGAAAUGCGUAGAUAUCGUAAGGAAGACCAGUGGCGAAGGCGGGGUCUCUGGACAGUUCCUGACGCUGAGGCACGAAGGCCAGGGGGAGCAAACGGG
rnacentral:rRNA from 1 species